AUACUCUGGUUUCUCUUCAGAUCGUAUAAAUCUUUCGCCUUUUACUAAAGAUUUCCGUGGAGAGGAACAAGCACGAGUGUCGUGGAAUUUUUUGAGGCUCCGCUUUGGCGGAGCU
ensembl:snRNA U5 U5 spliceosomal RNA